rnacentral:tRNA from 1 species
GGCCCUUUAGCUCAGUGGUUAGAGCAGGCGACUCAUAAUCGUCCGGUCGCUGGUUCAAGUCCAGAAAGGGCCACCA